rnacentral:rRNA from 1 species
GACCUCAAAUCAGGUAGGGAUACCCGCUGAACUUAAGCAUAUCAAUAAGCGGAGGAAAAGAAACCAACAGGGAUUGCCUUAGUAACGGCGAGUGAAGCGGCAAAAGCUCAGAUUUGAAAUCUGGUGUUAUUUUGACACCCGAGUUGUAAUCUGUAGAGGAGUUUUCGGAGUAUGGCUUUGGUUAAAGUUCCUUGGAAAAGGGCAUCAUAGAGGGUGAGAAUCCUGUUUAUGACCAUAGUACUUCUCUAUAUGAAUCUCCUUCAAUGAGUCGAGUUGUUUGGGAAUGUUAUGCACAAUGAAAGUAAAUGGAGGUGGGAACCAUUAGGUGCACCAUCGACCGAUCCUGAAGUUUUCUGAUGGAUUUGAGUAGGAGCAUAGCUGUUGGGACCCGAAAGAUGGUGAACUAUGCCUGAAUAGGGUGAAGCCAGAGGAAACUCUGGUGGAGGCUCGCANGCGGUUCUGACGUGCAAAUCGAUCGUCAAAUUUUGGUAUAGGGCGANAAGACCAGCUCUAAAUGGGUGGUAAAUUCCAUCUAAAGCUAAAUAUUGGCAAGAGACCGAUAGCGCACAAGUAGAGUGAUCGAAAGAUGAAAAGAACUCUGAACAGAGAGUUAAAGAGUACGUGAAAUUGUUGAAAGGGAAGCACUUGUGACCAGACAAAUUUGCAAUUAAUCAGCCCUCAAUUUUGGUGGUGCACUUGAUUGCAAGUGGGUCAGCAUCAGUUAUAGUAGUGGGAUAAAGACCUAAAGAAUGUGGCUCCUCUUUUGAGGAGUGUUAUAGCUUUUGGUUUAAUACUGCUUGCUUAUGACUGAGGAUAGCACUUUGAGUAAGGAUGCUGACAUAAUGGUCAUAAGUGACCCGUCUUGAAACACGGACCAAGGAGUCUAACAUCUAUGCGAGUAUUUGGGUUCAAGCCC